rnacentral:rRNA from 1 species
UACGGAGGGGGCUAGCGUUGUCCGGAAUUACUGGGCGUAAAGAGCGUGUAGGCGGCCAUGUAGGUCCGUUGUGAAAACUCGAGGCUCAACCUCGAGACGCCGAUGGAAACCAUGUGGCUAGAGUCCGGAAGAGGAGAGUGGAAUUCCUGGUGUAGCGGUGAAAUGCGCAGAUAUCAGGAAGAACACCCGUGGCUAAGGCGGCUCUCUAGUACGGUACUGACGCUGAGACGCGAAAGCGUGGGGAGCGAACAGG